rnacentral:rRNA from 1 species
UACGUAGGGUGCAAGCGUUGUCCGGAAUUAUUGGGCGUAAAGAGCUCGUAGGCGGUCUGUCACGUCGGCUGUGAAAACCUGGGGCUCAACUCCGGGCCUGCAGUCGAUACGGGCAAACUAGAGUACUGCAGGGGAGACUGGAAUUCCUGGUGUAGCGGUGAAAUGCGCAGAUAUCAGGAGGAACACCGAUGGCGAAGGCAGAUCUCUGGGCCGUAACUGACGCUGAGGAGCGAAAGCAUGGGGAGCGAACAGG